GGGCAGAAUCCUACAGCAAUGGACAUCAAUCUAGGCAAUUACAUUCUAUACAUACUUCCCCGCUUGUGACUAAAGGCACAAGGGUUUUGAAAUUUCAGGUGCCAAGGCUUUCUGCUUCAUCUGAAAACACAAUCAACUCCUGUGUUUGGAAAGGAGUCUGAUAUGUGUUGUCUUAAAAUAGAAGGUCUAUAGCUCUGGAAGGAUGGCCUCUAAACUCAGAAUUGCUGUAUUAAAUGUACUCAGCUAGCCUGUUUUAUACAUGGAAUGUGGCAGGUACUCUCAGAGCACAAUUCCAGUUCGAGGCCUGGGUAGAGAUGGGAGGAAAAGGAUGGUCUUGAUGGGCUCCGGGGAUGGAACCUAUCCUGCCAAUGACACCACAGACCAGAUACAACAACCAUAACUGUGCUGUGAAUAGUAAGGAUAGUGUACGUGUCUCAUACAUUCAGCAAAGCUUUCCUGGGUCUGGCAACAGCUGUAGGGUCUUUGUUAUCAACUCUGUAGUUCUCUUAAGGAUCCGUGGUUCCCAUAGUGAUUAGGUGCACAUUCCGGUGGGAGUGACCAGAAACACUUGCUGUGAACUCCCUGCCUGCAGGUCUCUAUGGAAACUCCACCCUCAGCCGACCAUCAGUUUACAUAUGGUCCGCUCAGCACUCCAUUUCCAUGGCAAUGGCUCUGCCUGCAUCUCUGGAGACCUGUUCCUGCCAGGGCCAACCAGGUGAGUUCCCCAAGCUCCAAACUUCUACCUGCUGGGUCUCUGAUAAGUCCAGCAGCUGUGAGGUCUUCCCUGAUCCCUUUGCACUCUGCUUUCUGAUUUCAUACCUCUAACCACAAUCCCAGACCACCACAGACACCAGUGAUCAUGAGGUAAGGCCCCUAUCUCCAAUCCCCUGUCUGUUGCUUCCUCUGGGCAAACCCAAAAAUGGCAAGCUCUGCCCUGCCUCUGUUGCACUCCAUUGCUGCCACAACUCCACCUACAUCCAUGGAGGCCUGCUGCUGCCCACUCAGGACAAACAAAGGCCUGCAACCACCAGGGACAACCAGAUCUACCUGCAGCCCCAGAGGCAUCAGGGACUACCAGGCCAGUGCAAGAACAUGAACAACAAAAGACCACCUCAACAUCAAUAGUCUUAAUUCCUCAAUAAAAAGACACAGGCUAAUAGAAUAAAUACGUAA
rnacentral:lncRNA from 1 species